GUUCUCUUUCAGGCUCUAUGCAAGUAUCUGCAAGUGUUGUUUAUGAGCAUCUAAACUUCCACUGAAUGGGCUGAGAUUGAUGAUUCCAGAUUAUACUUGUGCCCAAGUGCUAUAGGUGCAGGAGAGUGCAGACAGAGGUGGCUUGGGGAUCAGCAGCAUGUAACAUAGUUUGGGGGGACAGUCCCUGAGCAACUCAUCUCUUUGGCUCAGCUUAGAGGAGGUUUUAGCGAUGUAGACACUAACCAUCGAUGCUUCUCUACUCUGAAGUGAAACCUCUGAAGACGAAGAUGUUAGAAGCAAGAAAACGUGUUUCUGAUAUCUCUUGGCAUGAGUGACAUAUGGGUUCAAGCUGAAACGAUGGAGCAUCCAUUCACUUAGCAAAACAAAAAUAUGACUUGGCACUCUGCUCUUCUCUGCUACUAUUCCAG